AUUCGAAUAGUCAAGUGGUCAAGACGCCUCGAAAUUAUAGAUACAAAGUGAAAUCUCAUCUUUCAAGGAGGCGGGGGUUCGAUUCCUCCUUUGAGGG